ensembl:snRNA U6 U6 spliceosomal RNA
GUGCCUCCUUCGGCAGCAUAUACACUGAAAUUGGAAUGAUACACAGAGGACUAGCAUGGCCCCUGCACAGGAAUGACAUGCAAAUUCGUGAAGUGUUGUUCCAUAUU